UACCCCACCCGGGAAUCGUGGGUAUGCCCUGUCUGAGAAUCAAAGUGUGAUCUGGUUCUUAGGUUGAUGCUCAACCAUUGAGCCAUGCCAGUCGGGCAAUAAUAGCUUCAUUCUUACAAUGGUUCCAGUUUACAAGUGCUUCCCCAUAUGCUGUACUUGGAUUAGUUCAGUGGCUGAGUCUAGAAGAUGGGCCGAGGAGCUGGUGUAAACCCUCCUGUGCGGAUGAAGAGCAGACUCUGAAGGGUAAAGCGCGUGUCAGCCUGUGGCAGCUGCGUCCCCAUCUCAGAAACGGAACAUCACUGAAGACUUUAGUGCUGAUGACCAUACAUCGAGGCUUGUUCUGCCACCACUGCUGACAUUUCUGUUGCUGCUGCUGCUCUGCCCCCACCGUCAGAUUGGAGUCUCCGCAUCCGCAUCCCAUGCUCUGGGUCACUAUCUCUAGAGCUGACCAGCCAUCAUUUAUAUCCUGGGUGACAGGGACAGAUGUGACAUAUCUGUUGUGACACACUUCUGAACCACCAGCCUGUGGCUCGAGGUGACUCCUGUCCCUCCUCUUUCCCU